CGGACGGGUGAGUAACGCGUGAGCAACCUGCCUUUCANAGGGGGGAGUAACGUUUGGAAACGAACGCUAAUACCGCAUGAUAUGAUCGAACCGCAUGGUUUGAUGAUCAAAGGAGCAAUCCGCUGAAAGAUGGGCUCGCGUCCGAUUAGGUAGUUGGCGGGGUAACGGCCCACCAAGCCGACGAUCGGUAGCCGGACUGAGAGGUUGAACGGCCACAUUGGGACUGAGACACGGCCCAGACUCCUACGGAAGGCAGCAG
rnacentral:rRNA from 1 species